AUGCUCAUUUCAGCAGCAUACAUACUACAAUUGGAAUGCUACAAGAUUAGCAUGACCCCUACACAAUGGUGACAAGCAAAUUUGUGAAAUGAUUGUUGGAUGC
rnacentral:snRNA from 1 species